GGCGCCAUCGUCUAACGGCUAGGACGUGGCCCUCUCACGGCCAAAAUCGGAGUUCGAUUCUCCGUGGCGCUACCA
rnacentral:tRNA from 1 species